rnacentral:rRNA from 1 species
UACGGGGGGGGCAAGCGUUGUUCGGAAUUACUGGGCGUAAAGGGCUCGUAGGCGGCCAACUAAGUCAGACGUGAAAUCCCCAGGCUCAACCUGGGAACUGCGUCUGAUACUGGAUGGCUUGAAUCCGGGAGAGGGAUGCAGAAUUCCAGGUGUAGCGGUGAAAUGCGUAGAUAUCUGAAGGAAUACCGGUGGCGAAGGCGGCAUCCUGGACCGGCAUUGACGCUGAGGAGCGAAAGCCAGGGGAGCAAACGGG